AACGAACGCUGGCGGCAGGCUUAACACAUGCAAGUCGAACGAAGUCUUCGGACUUAGUGGCGGACGGGUGAGUAACGCGUGGGAAUAUGCCCUUGGGUAAGGAACAACAGCUGGAAACGGCUGCUAAUACCUUAUGAUGUCUACGGACCAAAGAUUUAUCGCCCAAGGAUUAGCCCGCGUAGGAUUAGCUAGAUGGUGGGGUAAUGGCCUACCAUGGCGACGAUCCUUAGCUGGUUUGAGAGGAUGAUCAGCCACACUGGGACUGAGACACGGCCCAG
rnacentral:rRNA from 1 species